rnacentral:lncRNA from 1 species
AAUCUAGUCCUCCACCUCUACAAUUGGUUGAGUCACUACCUGUUGGUCUUGUCGAAGCUGCCUCUCCUGAACCAGUUACUACCCGACGCCAUCAUAUGGUCACCAGAAUUCAAACUGGGAACCUUAAACCGAGACAACCUUUCUCCUUGGCUGUUUCGGUUGAUUCUACCUCAACACCAACUGUAAUACCCGGCUCGUUCAGGCAUCGGAAUUUCUACCGUCCGGUGGAAUCUCGAAUGUUGGUUUCUUUUUGCGGGUUAUGGCAAGGGCUCAGUAAAGGUUUUCCAAACGGUUUUUAUGUGUUUUAUGGUUUUCAAAGGAAAGGAAAUGUGUUUUGAAGAAAAAAGGGUCAAGGAGGGAAAAACAGAGGUUCGGCCGCCGAAGGAAUGUUCGGCCGCCGAAGGUGGUAGAGUUUGUGCCCCCGAAAGCUAGGUUCGGCCGCCGAACUGGGCUGAGUUGCGGGUGCAUGUUUGGCUGCCGAAAAUGGUUGACCAAGCCACCUAUAAAAGCCCCUUAGGUCGGUUGAGGAGCUGAGUUUUCUUCCUCUUCCCACCCAAGGUGAGCUCAUGUUCUCCUUGGCAUGAUUUCAUGGUUUGUUCAAGUUCUUUCCAAGUUGUAGUAAGCUUUUACCUUGGUUUUGAAGGUUUUGAGCAAAGAAAGAGCUAGUUUUGGAGCUUGGAGCUUUUAGAGCUUGGUUUCUCCUUGUUUUGACGUUAGGAUCACACCAACUCUAGUUCUUCAAGAGGUACGUGUUGAUCCUUAUGUUUGCUAGUGUUUUAAGCAAGUUUUAUGGGGAGAAAGGGUAGAAUUGCAUGGUUUGCAUGAGUUGUGCAUGAAGGGGGUUUAUGCACCCUUUAUGCCUAUGUGUGCUCUAUGUGGCUUUGUGAUGUUGUGUGUUGUAGUUUAAGGUUGUUUAUGCAUGUUUAGGGGUUUAUGCAUGGUUUUAAGAGGUUGUGUGCAUGUAAAGAAAGGUAGGAAGGUGUAGGGAGGCGUGUUGGUGCAUGAAUCUGGGUUCUGGAGGAACUCAGGUUCGGCCGCCGAAAGGAGUUUCGGCCGCCGAACCCUUGAGGAGGUGGGAUAGGCCGCCUAAACUCGCCCCCGAAAGUUUGGACUUUCGUCUCUGGAGUGGAGUUUCGGCCGCCGAACCUGCCGCCGAACAUGCCUGACUUUUGUCUCUGGAGAGGACUUUCGGCCGCCGAAAGUGCCGCCGAAGGUGCCCUGUUUUUCCUUCCUUUGCAUGUGUUUCCAUGCAUGUUUAUGAUGUUUUAGAGGGUCUUUGGGGAGAUGUUUUAGAGUUAUGUGAGAGUUGUUUGGCACCUCAUGUGAGUCCACCUGUGUAGGAUCGGACCUGAGGCGAGGUGUUUAGUUCCAGUGUGAGAGUUGGCCCAGAGAUAGCGGAGCAAAGGCUUCAGGUGAGUAGAACUAACUAUGCAUGUUUUAAAGUUAAGGUUUAAAGCUAAUGACAGUAUGAGCAUGAGACACGC